UACGGGGGGAGCAAGCGUUGUUCGGAUUUACUGGGCGUAAAGGGCGCGUAGGCGGCUUGUCAAGUCACUUGUGAAAUCUCUGGGCUUAACCCAGAAAGGUCAACUGAUACUGCGGGGCUAGAGUGCAGAAGGGGCAACUGGAAUUCUCGGUGUAGCGGUGAAAUGCGUAGAUAUCGAGAGGAACACCUGCGGCGAAGGCGGGUAGCUGGGCCGACACUGACGCUGAUGCGCGAAAGCCAGGGGAGCGAACGGG
rnacentral:rRNA from 1 species